UUUGUAGAGGAUGCUUUUGGUGAGGUGCCUUCCGAGUUCCCUGGAACGGGACGCCAUAGAGGGUGAGAGCCCCGUCUGGUUGGACACCGAUCCUCUGUAAAGCUCCUUCGACGAGUCGAGUAGUUUGGGAAUGCUGCUCUAAAUGGGAGGKAUAUGUCUUCUAAAGCUAAAUACCGGCCAGAGACCGAUAGCGCACAAGUAGAGUGAUCGAAAGAUGAAAAGAACUUUGAAAAGAGAGUUAAACAGUACGUGAAAUUGUUGAAAGGGAAGCGCUUGUGACCAGACUUGGGCUUGGUUGAUCAUCCGGGGUUCUCCCCGGUGCACUCUUCCGGCUCAGGCCAGCAUCAGUUCGCCCUGGGGGACAAAGGCUUCGGGAAUGUGGCUCUCUCCGGGGAGUGUUAUAGCCCGUUGCGUAAUACCCUGUGGCGGACUGAGGUUCGCGCAUUCGCAAGGAU
rnacentral:rRNA from 1 species